rnacentral:tRNA from 1 species
GCCUGGGUGGCUUAGUUGGUUGAGCACCUGACUUUGGCUCAGGUCAUAAUCUUGCAGUUCCUGAGUUUGAGCCCUGCAUCAGGCU